rnacentral:rRNA from 1 species
AUGGUGACUGUUGGCGAUGGCAGAACAGCGAUCUUCUGGCAAUCAACCUGGCUGGGACCAGGAACCCUUGCUCAGAGGUACCCAAACCUGUUCCACCACUCCCGGCGCAAAAAUAGGACUGUCUAUGAAGCACCGCACAACCACACUUGGAUCAGCGACCUUGAGCAUGGUGAUGUCAACCAGCUACUGCCGGAUUUCCUGCAGCUGCACCGAAGAAUUCGAGAGGCAAACAUCAUACUCAAUGGAGAAGAAAGGGACCAAAUUCGGUGGAACCUAGAGGCAAAAGGAGGAUACACAGCAAAUUCUGCUUACAAAAUGCAGUUCCAGGGCCGGCACUUGUCAGAGUUCGAUAGCAUCAUAUGGAAAACUUGGGCUCCAGGGAAGAUCAAGAUGUUUUUUGGCUGCUACUGCAGGACCGAGUUUGGUCAAACGACAGGCUCCAGCGUCGGGGCUGGCCGAACGGCUACUUCUCCCAGCUCUGCCACAGAAAUCUUGAAACAAGCAAGCACAUAUUCUGGGAAUGUCCCAAGGCAUGGAGCGAGUGGAAACAUGUGGCAUCAUGGCGCGGUUGCUCCACCUUCAUGCCGAAGGAUGAGUGGCGCCAGAAGCAGCCAAUGCUGA